rnacentral:lncRNA from 10 species
AGACUCGCCCUUGGGUCCCUGUCUGACGAGCUCUAGGCAAUCUGCCCUCGUUCGGGACACAACCAUCGGUCUCACCCCUCAGUUUCUGCCAGAGAAAAAGGAAAAGUCACCGAGAGGCCUGACCCUGACGGGUGGGGGAGAUGCGCGUGCGGAGUAGCGGGAAGCGACUGAGGAGCGGGGAAUGGGCAGCAUUUGAAUGGAUGCGGGUGCCGCUGGCACCCGGGAAGACGCUGGGGGCCGGCGCUGUAGAGCCGGGCAUGGGCUGGGAUGUGUUUGGAUUCCAAUCCGGGCCUGACACCAGUUCAGUGACCUCGGGAAGUUCCCCAACCCUCCGGGCCUGUUUCCUCCCUCUGAAGUGGCGACAGUAGUAGAACCGACCUCGUAGGCUCAUCGGGAGGUCCUGAUGGGAGAACCCAUGCAACUUGCCACCAUAGAGCCAGGCCCGCGGCGGUUGGCGCCUGGUGGGUAUUAAAGACGAGUCGGGAAAGAAGAGCAGGUAAGAGGGUGGGGAGACUGGCCCAGUGGGUUGGGGUGUGCACCUCGGCCACGUGGAAAAGCGAGAAUGCAGAGGCCGGACGCUUAUGGACGAUGCAUAUGUGGGGCCGGAUAGAAUUGUGGCAGGCGGCGCUGGGGCUGAUGCUCCUCACCCGGAUUAUCCUCUCUAAUCCUCAGCCCUGUGAAGUGGGCACUGCCCUGAACAUUUUGUAAAUAAGGGACCCGAGGCUCAGAGAGGUGAAGUAACUUUCCAGACAGCCCAGCUCGUCAGCGGCCAGCAUUUGAAGUCACACUCCAGAGCCUGUUUUUAACAUAAUAGCCGCUGUGACCGCAUAACCAACGUGUGUGUUGAAGUGAUCAAAUAACCAUGGAGUGUCUUUGAUGUCCAGGACUUUUGAGAAAUACCGAAAAAUAUGAGGUUGAUAGACUGGAUGCUGCUAUGGUAAUCUGCCUCAGGAAAAUGCCGGACUGUUGUUUGCAAGCUGGUUAAGUGAGCAAAUCUUGGGAAGAUUUCAAGCACACCAACAUGGCACAUGUAUACAUAUGUAACAAACCUGCACAUUGUGCACAUGUACCCUAAAA